rnacentral:rRNA from 1 species
UAAGUAAGUGGUGGAAAUUAAACCAAAUGGGAUAUCUUUAGUAAUUGCGAAUGAACAAGGAUAUGCUUAGCUUGACAAAUGGAGCUAUUGGCUUUGAAUUGUAUUUGUGGAAUGUAUUACCAACAGAGGUGCAGGUGCCAGCCUAUUAAAUAAAGCGUCAAUGAGGGUGAGAAUCCUGUUUGUCAUGUGCAGCCCUUUGUGCACGGUGUAUAUUUGCUGAGUCACACUCCUUGGCAUUGGAAUGCAAAGUGGGUGGUAAGUUUCAUGUACAGGUAAACAUGCAAUUGAGACUGAUAGCACACAAGUACCAUGAGGGAAAUAUGAAAAGGACUUUGAAAAGAGAAUUAAAUGAGUUUGUAUUUGCUGAACACAAAGUAAACAGACUUGAUUUGCUUGGUGGGAGUGUUGCACUUGCUUGACAAGAGCUUUGGGCUGUGGGUGUAAUGAUUCUUUCUUUGCAUGCCAGUUUCUAUGUGUACAUCUGAUUACCUUUGCACAUGAAUGAUAAGUCUCCUGUGGGGGGUGGAUUGCAUGUGCAUGUAAUGAUUUGUGUUUUGAUACAUGUGUCUGGUGUAUGUGUGUGUGUUCCUGUGCUUGGGGAUGCUUCCUUCCUUGGACUUACAAGCCCUGACACACACAUGCUGGCAAAAUGCUUCUGCUUGACCCG